rnacentral:rRNA from 1 species
UACGUAGGGGGGCAAGCGUUGUCCGGAUUUAUUGGGCGUAAAGAGCGUGUAGGCGGUUCGGUAGGUCCGUUGUGAAAACUCGAGCUCAACCUCGAGACGCCGAUGGAAACCCUCGAACUAGAGUCCGGAAGAGGAGAAUGGAAUUCCUGGUGUAGCGGUGAAAUGCGCAGAUAUCAGGAAGAACACCCGUGGCUAAGGCGGUUCUCUAGUACGGUACUGACGCUGAGACGCGAAAGCAUGGGGAGCGAACAGG